rnacentral:rRNA from 1 species
GUAGGGAAUAUUGGGCAAUGGAUGCAAGUCUGACCCAGCCAUCCCGCGUGCCGGAAGAAGGCCCUCAGGGUUGUAAACGGCUUUUGACGGUGAAGAACCGACAGGAUGCGUCCUGUUUUGACGGUAGCCGUUGAAUAAGCACCGGCUAACUCCGUGCCAGCAGCCGCGGUAAUACGGAGGGUGCGAGCGUUGUCCGGAUUUAUUGGGUUUAAAGGGUGCGUAGGCUGGAAGGUCAGUCAGCGGUGAAAAGCUAUCGCUUAACGAUAGUCUUGCCGCAGAUACUUCCUUUCGUGGAUGAGGAGGAGGCCACUGGAACGGAUGGUGUAGCGGUGAAAUGCAUAGAUAUCAUCCAGAACACCGAUUGCGAAGGCAGGUGGCUGUACCUUAAUCGACGCUGAUGCACGAAAGCAUGGGGAGCAAACAGGAUUAGAAACCCCGGUAGUCC